CCUAGGGGGGCAGCAGUGGGGAAUGUUGGACAAUGGGGGGAACCCUGAUCCAGCCAUGCCGCGUGUGUGAAGAAGGCCCUCGGGUUGUAAAGCACUUUCAGUGAGGAAGAACGCCUGGUGGUUAAUACCCAUCAGGAAAGACAUCACUCACAGAAGAAGCACCGGCUAACUCCGUGCCAGCAGCCGCGGUAAUACGGAGGGUGCGAGCGUUAAUCGGAAUUACUGGGCGUAAAGCGCGCGUAGGUGGCUUGAUAAGCCGGUUGUGAAAGCCCCGGGCUCAACCUGGGAACGGCAUCCGGAACUGUCAAGCUAGAGUGCAGGAGAGGAAGGUAGAAUUCCCGGUGUAGCGGUGAAAUGCGUAGAGAUCGGGAGGAAUACCAGUGGCGAAGGCGGCCUUCUGGACUGACACUGACACUGAGGUGCGAAAGCGUGGGUAGCAAACAGGAUUAGAUACCCCAGUAGUC
rnacentral:rRNA from 1 species